AACGAACGCUGGCGGCAUGCCUAACACAUGCAAGUCGAACGAUGCCUUCGGGCCUAGUGGCGCACGGGUGCGUAACGCGUGGGAAUCUGCCUUUCGGUUCGGAAUAACUCAGGGAAACUUGAGCUAAUACCGGAUAACGUCGCACGACCAAAGAUUUAUCACCGAAAGAUGAGCCCGCGUAGGAUUAGCUAGUUGGUGAGGUAAAGGCUCACCAAGGCGACGAUCCUUAGCUGGUCUGAGAGGAUGAUCAGCCACACUGGGACUGAGACACGGCCCAGACUCCUACGGGAGGCAGCAGUGGGGAAUAUUGGACAAUGGGCGAAAGCCUGAUACAGCAAUGCCGCGUGAGUGAUGAAGGCCUUAGGGUUGUAAAGCUCUUUUACCCGGGAAGAUAAUGACGGUACCGGGAGAAUAAGCCCCGGCUAACUCCGUG
rnacentral:rRNA from 1 species